GAUGAACGCUGGCGGCGUGCCUAAUACAUGCAAGUCGAGCGAACAGACGAGGAGCUUGCUCCUCUGACGUUAGCGGCGGACGGGUGAGUAACACGUGGAUAACCUACCUAUAAGACUGGGAUAACUUCGGGAAACCGGAGCUAAUACCGGAUAAUAUAUUGAACCGCAUGGUUCAAUAGUGAAAGACGGUUUUGCUGUCACUUAUAGAUGGAUCCGCGCCGCAUUAGCUAGUUAGUAAGGUAACGGCUUACCAAGGCAACGAUGCGUAGCCGACCUGAGAGGGUGAUCGGCCACACUGGAACUGAGACACGGUCCAGACUCCUACGGGAGGCAGCAGUAGGGAAUCUUCCGCAAUAGGCGAAAGCCUGACGGAGCAACGCCGCGUGAGUGAUGAAGGUCUUCGGAUCGUAAAACUCUGUUAUUAGGGAAGAACAAAUGUGUAAGUAACUAUGCACGUCUUGACGGUACCUAAUCAGAAAGCCACGGCUAACUACGUG
rnacentral:rRNA from 1 species